GAUGAACGCUAGCGACAGGCUUAACACAUGCAAGUCGAGGGGCAGCACGGGAGUAGCAAUACAACUGGUGGCGACCGGCGCACGGGUGAGUAACGCGUAUGCAACCUACCUAUCAGAGGGGAAUAACCCGGCGAAAGUCGGACUAAUACCGCAUAAAACAGGGGCACCGCAUGGUGAUAUUUGUUAAAGAAAUUCGCUGAUAGAUGGGCAUGCGUUCCAUUAGGUAGUUGGUGAGGUAACGGCUCACCAAGCCGACGAUGGAUAGGGGAACUGAGAGGUUGGUCCCCCACACUGGUACUGAGACACGGACCAGACUCCUACGGGGGGCAGCAGUGAGGAAUAUUGGUCAAUGGGCGAGAGCCUGAACCAGCCAAGUCGCGUGAAGGAAGAAGGAUCUAUGGUUCGUAAACUUCUUUUGCAGGGGAAUAAAGUGCAGGACGUGUCCUGCUUUGUAUGUACCCUGAGAAUAAGGAUCGGCUAACUCCGUGCCAGCCGCCGCCGUAAUAC
rnacentral:rRNA from 1 species